rnacentral:rRNA from 1 species
UGGGGAAUCUUGCACAAUGGGGGAAACCCUGAUGCAGCGACGCCGCGUGAGCGAUAAAGGUUUUCGAAUCGUAAAGCUCUGUCCUAUGGGAAGAUAAUGACGGUACCAUGGGAGGAAGCCCCGGCUAACUACGUGCCAGCAGCCGCGGUAAUACGUAGGGGGCGAGCGUUGUCCGGAAUUACUGGGCGUAAAGGGUUCGCAGGCGGCAUGGCAAGUCCGAUGUAAAAGGCGAAGGCUCAACCUUCGUAAGCAUCGGAAACUGUCAAGCUUGAGUGAAGGAGAGGCAAGUGGAAUUCCUAGUGUAGCGGUGGAAUGCGUAGAUAUUAGGAGAAAUACCGGUGGCGAAGGCGACUUGCUGGACUUCAACUGACGCUGAGGAACGAAAGCGUGGGUAGCAAACAGG